AAGGUCUGAAGACAUACAGCUUGAACAGAACUGUCCUAAGGAGACCAUAGCACCGAUUCAGGUGUGGAGGGAGAAGAUAGUUAUACAUGAAGAGGAGGCGCCACCGGAAUCACCGACUACGCCAUCCAGCGAAUCCCAGGACGACUGAGAAAACGGAGAGUCCCGUUCGGAGGACUUAAAAACACCGAACGCCUUGCCAAGAGGUAAACUUGGUAGUUAUCCUUUUUCCUUUCAACUAUUUAAAAUAGUUUGCUUAGUUAAUCAGGUUCAUAUCAUCUCGAAAAGAAAAUAAAAAUGUUAAAAAUAGUAAGCCCCAUGUGAGUAUGCUCAUGGCAUAAAACCCAUAGGUACAUUCACUCUAGUGGCAUAAAAUAAAUAUGUUUUCAUCUUAUAAUAAAAAUAUAAAUAAUAAGUGCAUGAUCCUGCUAAAUAAAUAAAAUUUAUUAUGAGGAAGCUCAAUAUGAUAAAGGCUAGAUAUUUAUGCUAACACUUAACUAGUUCCACAAAGCUUUGUUGUCUAUUUGAGCUUCACAGAAUUCAUGGAUAAAAGAAGACUAGCAGACGGAGGACAUCCUAAUCGCUGUCAGGGUUCUGCCAACAUUCAAAUACACCUCCGUCACUUGCUAGCUACACCAGAAAAAAUCACGUCAAAAUCCAGCUUGGGGGAGAGCACCCCCAUUUAUCCAGCUAAGUAUUUCUACUCGCGUUUAUACUUUACUCAAGUAAUAAAAAGAUUCAUAAUCAUGAAAACCCAAAUAAUGUGCUUAUAUAUAUCUUUGCUUAGUUAGCUAAAUAAAUAAAUAAAGUGUCUAGGCCAAACUGAACUUAAAUGAUAAGCUCUCACAUGGAAAUGAUGAAUAGUUGCUCUGCCAAGACUAGUUCUUAAAAUUGAAAUCUCUCUCAAGUUUAGGCAUAACUGUUAUAAUUUAAACCUGCUCUAAACCCGAACUUGUGGGAAGAGUACUUGAUCUAAAGUCUAAGUCGUUAACGGAUAUGAUAUGGGAAGGUUGAGCUGCUGUUUAUCUGUUCCUAGAGAUGCUAGAAUUCUGGAGAAUUUUAUCUUUCAAAAAUCUUUAAAAUAACACAUGAUGAGUUCCUGUAUGAUGAGAGAUUAAAAUCCUACCAUAGCCAUAUAUACAUGCUUAUUAGACUUUGAGCCACAUAUUUACUUUUUACUGCUUAUGAGCAUUGAGUGUGGUCAAGCUGUGUAGACCCUUAGGAGCUUGUCAUGCGGUUAAAAUCAAGAUUCACUUGCACGUUCACUCACACAUGCUGCUUCUACUCCGGAAGUACGCAUCCACAUACAUCCACUCAUUUCCAUCUCCAGAUUCACCCAAAAGUAUUCUACUCCUAAUCCGGGAGAGAAUAGCCAGAAACAUUAUCCUAUCCCUGUUUUUCCCUAUGGAAUAAAUGCUCGAGAUAGUUUGGUUACUACCACUUGCUACAUUAUUCUAGAAGGGUGAGUGCUCUGAAAAAAAAGAGAGAAAAAAAAAUAAUACGAGGAAAUAAAAAGGGGCAAGUGCCCGGAACCUCGAAGAAAAGAAAAAGUGAGACAAGAGGUAAAAAUGGACAAGUGUCCGACAGUAGAAUUAGGGGUACAAGAUACCCACCUUAGAGAAAAGAAAAAGAAAAUAUAGAGCAUCUCAUUCUCCUCAAAAAGCUUCAAAGUGCAAGAAAGGUAUGUAUCCCCUCAAAGAGCAAAAGUAGAAUUAGACUUCCACCAUUGUUAUCACCAUCAUCACCAUAUACCAUUCAUUCGCCACACAUGCACAUCUUAAUUGAACUUAUUGAUUUGUUUCUUUGGAUCCAUGGUUUGACUAUACAAUAAAUGUCUUGUGAGUAUGUAUACUUUAUCUCCCACCUAUGAGCUCCAGAUAUUAAAGCCUUAUUAGAGUACGGUGAGAGAGAAGGCAAUCUGCUUUACACCAUAAAUACCAUAUAUAUUGAGAGAAGGCAUAUACCAUCACUGCCUUGGUAAGGAUCCAGAAAUACCACAAAAGAGAGAUUUGAGAGAGUCAUACAAAGGAAUCUCUGAGUUUUAUUUGAAAAUCUGCAAAAACUCCAGAGCUAUAGCUGAUCAAGAAUAAGAGACAUGGCACUUGAUUAGACUGUUCUAUCUUUUAACUACUCAAGACAGAAGUGACGGUUACAAGUCUCAUGGUGAUAGGUAAAGUAAGUAAGUUUUAAGUCUUGAUAGUUUACUCUAACUCAGAGAUGAGAUCUUAUUUAAAAGCAUGUGUACUGUCAAAUUUUCAAAGAUAUUGCAACAACUUCUGAUCCAUUACUGAGUCUAUCCUUGCUCAGGGACGAGCAAGAGGUAAGCUUGGGGGAGUUUGUUGACGGUCCUUAAGUAUCAAAUUUAAUUAUGAAAUAAACAAAGAAAAGGAUCCAAAUAAAAUCGACAUCUAGACCUAGGGUUUUAUCUGACAGAAUUCCACGAGUUUUGGUGUUUGUCUAUUUCUGCAGGGGGUUAUCAGGAAAUACGGAAGAAAGGCCCACACGUCGGGAUUACAUAGAGAUAUUAACGUGCCGUGUAAUUAUCUUACAUCUAGAAGACUCCAGAAGCCACGGGAAGGAAGCGGAGGCUGAACGGGGCUAGGCACUGGGCGCCCGCCCAGUUGACCUGGGCGCCCGCCCCCUGUCGGAGUCCAAUCAGGGCACUCAUUCGGGAAAGAUCACCACCGACCUAAAGGAUCAAGGACAACCGUUCAAUCAAUGUCGGUUUGAUCCAACGGCCCAUAUUCACUUGAAGGGACUAUAAAACCAGACCCCCUAGCCCCUAGAGGAGAGAGCCUCUCAACCCUAAUUCAUUAUUCCUCAAGGGAGAAGAAGCCUCUGAUCAAGAUUAGAGCCACCACAUCAAUUAGACAUCUAGAUUAGCAUAGCUACAUAGGAUUAUAACUAGAAGGAGUCAAUCUUUGAUUGGUUUCCAGAUCUGUCAAGAGGAUUCUUGGUAAUUCUCUAAUUGUGCUUCUAAUUGUUCUUCUAAUUAUCUUUGUUCUUCAAUAUUAUGAAAAUGACUUUGUUCUACUUCAAUAUAUUGCUUAUGACUUUGCUCUACUUGUUUAUAUUCAAGAUUAUAUUGUUCUUAGUUUAUCAUAGUUAUGUACUUGGCUUAUGUUGGGUAUUCUUAACAUCAUUACCAAUAGUAGAUGUUGACGGUCCUUAAGUAUCAAAUUUAAUUAUCAAAUAAACAAAGAAAAGGAUCCAAAUUAAAUCAACAUCUAGACUUAGGGUUUUAUCUGACAGAAUUCCACGAGUUUUGGUGUUUGUCUAUUUCUGCAGGGGGUUAUAAGGAAAUACGGAAGAAAGGCCCACACGUCAGGAUUACAUAGAGAUAUUAACGUGCCACGCAAUUAUCUUACAUCUAGAAGACUCCAGAAGCCACGGGAAAGAAGCGGAGGCCGAACGGGGCCAGAGGCAGGGCGCCCACCUUGUUUCCCUGGGCGCCCGCCCUGACUUGGAGGCCAAUUAGGACUCUGUUUCUCGGGAGAUCUCCAACGACCUAAAGGAUCAAGGAUAACCGUUCAAUCUAUAUCGGUUUGAUCCAACAGCCCAUAUUCACUUGAAGGGACUAUAAAAUCAGACCCCCUGGCCCCUGGAGGAGAGAGCCUCUCAAACCUAAUUCAUUAUUCUUCAAGGGAGAAGAAGCCUCUGAUCAAGAUUAGAGCCACCACAUCAAUUAGACAUCUAGAUUAGCAUAGCUACAUAGGAUUAGAACUAGAAGGAGUCAAUCUUCGAUUGGUUUCCGGAUCUGUCAAGAGGAUUCUUGGUAAUUCUCUAAUUGUGCUUCUAAUUGUUCCUCUAAUCAUCUUUGUUCUUCAAUAUUAUGAAUAUGACUUUGUUCUACUUCAAUAUAUUACUUAUGACUUUGCUCUACUUGUUUAUAUUCAAGAUUAUAUUGUUCUUAGUUUAUCAUAGUUAUGUACUUGGCUUAGUUAGAUUGGAUCUAUAUACAUGCUUAGGAUCGUGUAGCGUUUAUCCAUCGGAUCCAUGGGUAAAUGAUAGAUAUUGUGUAGGCGUGGUGCUUAUACCGUAUUUAUCUGCGAUUGUACCCAAUUUGCCAGAUCGUGGGGUAGUUCGUGAUAGUGACAGGUUCAUUGAUUCUUAUAUAGUCCCCCUCUCGUGUAUUGGGCUGGCAGAGCAACAUUAUUACAGGGGAGUGAUUGCUAUGUUUCUCAUUUACCUUGCUAAUAUCACUAUGCAUGGGUGUAGUCUAGUCUCGCAAUGAUUGCUAAGUAUGCUUGCACUAACUAUGAUAAUGUUGGGCCAUAUAGUUGAGAAUAACUUAGGAAAUAUUCUUGUAGUUCGUUCUAAUACCAUGCUAAUGACUUUCUAGAGUAUCUAAUUGAGGUGCUUAUCAUAUUUAUAUGUGGCUGAUCAGAUUAAUUAUCUUUGUCACUAUUUAUUAUUUCAAAUAUCUUUUAUGUGACACUUAUCCCUGUAUAAAAGAGUUAGAUAAAUGUUCUCAAUUAUACAUGCAAUGAUAGAUACUCAAUCUCAUAUUUUAUUCUAUAAUCAAUAUUGAUGGUUGCUAAUCCCUUCCCAGUGGUAAAAAUAUAAAUAACGAUACCUGGAAUACUUCCCGGUUAAAAUGCUACAUCGGUAUUAAUCUGUGCGCUUGCAGAUCCCAUUCAUUAUUUAUUUAGAAGAGCAAUUGCAUAUUUCAAUACCGCGUCUCUCAUGUCAUGCUGGGGAUGACAACUUGGCUUAAGUGGUGUGAGGGAUAGGUUUGGCAUUUUUGGCACCGUUACUAGAUUUAGAGAACUUAGUCUACUUUUGGUAAUGAUGUUAAGAAUACCCAACAAGCAUUUUUGGCGCCGUUGCUGGGGAAGGUUGAUUACUAAUCAAGAAUGGAAUAAAGGAUUUUGAGUUAUCAUUCGCAUCACUAAUAUGAUUGAGCUUAUCUAUUCUCUCAUACAGUUUUACCUCGAUAUUUUUCUAUUUUAUAUUAUGCAGGGGAAUGUAUGAAUAGAAGACAUCUUCUAGGAAAUUUUGUUGACAAUCCCGAAGCGUUAUUCAGAAAAACUAGAGCCAAGCUCAAGAAGAGAUCAUCAACACUUCAGCAAAAGCUUCAUCCAAUCAAGAAGAUCACCGGAACUUGUCUUCAGAGUUCGAAGCCAUGGCGAACAAAUCGAUCUGCGAGUUCUCAGCUCCCACUACGGACAACAUCCGCACUGGACCUGCUGCAGAGAUCGAUGGCAACUUUGAGCUCAAGCCUGGACUUAUCAAUUUGGUGCAAUCCAACCAGUUCUGUGGGAAGGCACACGAAGAUGCUAGUGCUCAUCUCCAACACUUCCUGGAGAUUUGCAACACAUUCACCAUAUCAAGAGUUUCCAGAGAUGCUAUACUACUUCGCCUCUUCCCAUUCUCACUGUUAGGAAGAGCGAAGCAGUGGUUCUACGCUACAAAGGAGAAGAAUACUAUGUGGGCACUCUGCUCAACAAACUUCCUGGCUAAGUUCUUUCCCAUGGGCAAGACCAAUGCUCUCUGUGGGAAAAUUACAAGUUUUCAGCAACAAAAUGAUGAAUCUGUUCUAGAAGCAUGGGAGCGCUUCCAAGACUACAUCCUAGAAUGUCUCCAUCAUGGAAUGGAGAGUUGGCUACUAAUGCAGACGUUUUAUCAUGGACUCGGCAAUAGUGCCCGAGAGACCAUGGAUGCUGCAGCUGGAGGAGCAUUUUUAUCACUUACUAUAUCACAAGCCACAGCUCUUGUGGAGAAGAUGGCGUCCAACCAAGGCUGGAAUGAAGAGAGGACCCAGACACGCAAGAGAGGUGGAGGUAUGCAUCAGCUCAAGGAGGUAGACAUGCUAUCUGCAAAGCUAGACCUGCUCAUGAAGAAGCUCAACGAUAGAGCUGGAGAUAAGAAAGAAGUUAUGCACAUCUACGACUCUCACAUGACUUGUGAAGAGUGUGGAGAUACUGGACACUCAGGCAAUCACUGCCCUGAGAUACUUGAGGACGUGAACUACAUCAACAACAACAACUACUACUACUACAACCGUCCUCAACAACAUCAAGGUUGGAAUCAACAGAGGCCUAACUACUCAGGUAAUUAUCAAGGUAACAAUUCUUACAAUAAUAAUUUUCCACUUCUGAGAGAGUUAGUGUCUAAUCAAGGAAAGCUAAUGGAGAGUCUAUCUAAGAAAUUGGCAUCUAAUGAUAAAAUGCUAGAAAAUAUAAAUAAUAGAAUGGAUAAUUUCUCUUCUGCCAUCAAGAAUCAAAUUAGGUUUAAUAAAAUGAUUGAAUCCCAGUUAAAUCAAAUAGCUGCUGCUGUUCCUACUACUAACCCCGGUAUACCAUCACAACCAGAAGGAUUAGAAUCUGCAAAUCUUGUAGACACGUUUGAUGCAGGUAAUUGGAGUAACCCCGUCACUAAAUUCACUACUGACCUUCUGCCGGUCAAGAGAGGCAAUCCAGGACGCCCCGUCAUCCCGAUCUCCAUCGGCAUGGUGGACUUCCAAGAAUCACUCUGUGACUUUGGCUCUAGUGUCAACAUUAUGCCCAGGGUACUCUAUGAAAAAUUCUUUACAUAUUCUUUAUUAGAAACAACCAUGUGUUUGCAGUUUGCAGAUCAGACGAUAAGUUUUCCAAAGGGAAUAUUGAAGAACCUUUGUGUCCGAGUUGGUACCUUAUACGCCCUAGCAGACUUGGUGGUGAUAGAGACCGGUAAUGAUGAGAGAGCACCCAUCAUCUUAGGGAGGCCAUUCUUAAACACCUCGGGAGCUGUCAUCUACGCCAGUGCUGCCAAGAUCAGUUUCUACAUCAAAGGGAGGAAGGAGACGUUUUUCUUCAAGAACAAGACUACACAAAUCCCAGAUCAAUCUAGACGUGAAUCAAGGAAGAGGACCAACAGGAGGAACAGGAACAAGCAAGUGUGGACCGAGUCAGCUAAGAUGGUCACUGCAGUUCAUAGAGGUCAAGAUCACCAACUUAAGUCACCGUUUUUGACCAAGAAGGAUGACCCAGGAAUGCCAAGCAUCUACUGCUCCAUAAAUGGAUACAACUUCUACAAGACGUUUUGCGACACUGGAUCGGGCGUCAACAUAAUGGCCGCAGUCACCUAUCAGCUCUUGUUCGGAACCAUGCCCCUAUGACCAACAUACAUUCAGCUCCAGAUGGCAGAUCAGACAUUUCGAGAAGUUAAAGGAACAAUAACUGAUGUCUCUAUCAAAAUAGACGAUCAUUUUGUCUACACAGACUUUCAAGUUGUUGACAUGGGAGAAGAUGAGUACGAUCCACCCAUCAUUCUUGGAAGACCGUUCCUCAGCACCGUUAAAGCAAUCAUCUACAUUGGAACUGGAGUAGUCCAUAUGCUCUUCCCCUCAGAGAAGGUACGCCGUUAUUUUAUUGACCCUGACUAUAUCGUUGAAGAAUCUAAGCAGGUAAGAAAACGACGCAACCGCAACCAGAGGAGGCAAAUCAUCAAGGACGGAUGGGCAGACUACGAAGGAGAAGUGAUAAGAUCAGAAGAUGUAGAGUUUAAACAGAAUUUUCAGAGGAGACCGUAGCACCGAGUCAGGUAUGGAAAGAGAAGAUAACCAUACAUGAAGAGGAGGCGCCGCCGGAAGUACCGACUACGCCACCCAACGAACCUCAGGACAAUUGAGAAAACAGAGAGUCCCCGUUCGGAGGACUUAAAAACACCGAACGCCUUGCCAAGAGGUAAACUUGGUAGUUAUCCUUUCCCUUUCGAUUAUUUUAAAAUAGUUUGCUUAGUUAAUUAUAUUCAUACUAUUCUAAAAAGAAAAUAAAAAUGUUAAAAAAAUAGUAAGCCCCAUGUGAGUAUACGAGUGGCAUAAACCCCAUAAGUACAUUCACUGUGGUGGCAUAAAAAUAAAAUAAAUAUUUUUCUGCUUUAUAAAAUGAAAAUAUAAAAAUAGGGAGUAAUAAUUAUUGAGGAGUCUCAACAUGAUAAAGGCUAGAUAUUUAUGCUAACACUUAAUCAGUUCCACAAAGCUUUGUUGUCUAUUUGAGCUCCACAGAAUUCAAGAAUCAAAAAGACUAGCAGACGGAGGACAUUCUAAUCGCUGUCAAGAUACUGCCGACUUUCAAAUACACCUCUGCCACCUGCUAGCUACAUCAAAAGAAAUUACGUCAAAAUUCAGCUUGGGGGAGAGCACCCCCAUUUAUCCCGAUAAGUAUUUCUAUCUAUCUAUCUUUAUACUUAUACUAUAUUAAAAUAUAACUAUGGAAAACCAAAUAAAGAUUUUGUGCAUAUAUAUAUAUAUCUUUUGCUUAGUGUGUUUAAUAAAGAAAUAAAGUGGCUAUGCUAAUCUGUAUCUAAAUAAAACUCUAGCACGGAUAUGAUGAAUAGUUGCUCUGCCUAACUAGCAAAUUUUAAGUUCUCUCUCAAGUUUAGAUAUAACUGUUAUAAUUUAAAGCUUGCUCUAGACCUAAACUUGUGGGAUGAAAACUUGAUCUGAAGUCUAAGUUGUUAACGGAUAUGAUAUGGGAAGGUUGAGCUGCUGUUUAUCUGUUCCUAGAGAUGCUAGAAUUCUGGAGAAUUUUAUCUUUGAAAAUCUUUAAAAUAUUGCAUGAUGAGUUCCUGUAUGAUGAGAGUUUAAAUUCCUACCACAGCCAUAUAUACAUGCUUGCUAGACUUUGAGCCACACAUUUACUAUUUACUGCUUAUGAGCAUUGAGUGUGGUCAAGCUGUGUAGACCCUUAGGAGCUUGUCAUGUGGUUAAAUCAAGAUUUCACUUGCACGUUCACUCAUAUAUGCUACUUCUACUCUGGAAGUACCAUCCACAUAUAUCCACUCAUUUCCAUCUCCAGAACCACCCAAAAAUAUUCUACUCCUAAUCCGGGAGAGAAUAACCAAAAAUAUUUCUAUUUUUCCCUUGUGAAAUAAAUACUCAAGUUAUCUUGUUACUACCACUUGCUAUAUUACCUCAAGAGAUGAGUGCUCUAAAAAAAGAAGAAAGAAAAAAGAGAUAGAUAUGAGGAAAUAAAAAGGCGCAAGUGCCCGGAACCUCGAAAGAAAAGAAAAAGUGAGACAAGAGGUAAAAAUGGACAAGUGUCCGACAGUAGAAUUAGGGGUACAAGAUACCCAACUGAGAGAAAAGAAAAAAAGAAGAGCAUCUCAUUCUCCCCAUAAAAUUUCAGAAAGCAAGGAAGGUAUGUACCCCUCAAAGAGCAAAAGUAGAAUUAGACUUCCACCAUUGCUAUCACCAUCAUCACCAUACACCAUUCAUUCGCCACACAUACACAUCUUGAUUUGACUUAUUGAUUUGUUUCUUUGGAUCCAUGGUUUGACUAUGCAAUACAUGUCUUAUAAGUAUGUAUACUUUAUCUCCCGCCUAUGAGCUCCAGAUAUUAAAGCCUUAUUAGAGUAGGGUGAGAGAGAAGGCAAUGUCACUAUGCCUUAUACCAUAAAUACUAUAGAUAUUGAGAGAAGGCAUAUACCAUCACUGCCUUGGUAAGGAUCCAGAAAUAUCACAAAAGAGAGAUAUGAGAGAAUCAUACAAGGAAUCUCUGAGUUUUAUUUGAAAAUCUACAAAAACUCCAGAGCUAUAGCUGAUCAAGAAUAAGAGACAUGGCACUUGGCUAGACUGUUCUAUCUUUUGACUACUCAAGACAGAAGUGACGGUUACAAGUCCCAUGGUGAAAGGUAAAGUAAGUAGGUUUUAAGUCUUGACAGUUUACUCUAACUCAGAGAUGAGAUCAUAUUUAAAAGCAUGUGUACCGUCAAUUUUUAAAUAUAUUGCAACAACUUCUAAUCCAUCGCUGAGUCUGUCCUUGCUCAGGGACGGGCAAGAGGUAAGCUUGGGGGAGUUUGUUGACGGUCCUUAAGUAUCAAAUUUAAUUAUCAAAUAAACAAAGAAAAGGAUCCAAAUGAAAUCAACAUCUAGACUUAGGGUUUUAUCUGACAGAAUUCUACGAGUUUUGGUGUUUGUCUAUUUCUGCAGGGGGUUAUCAGGAAAUACGGAAGAAAGGCUCACACGUCGGGAUUACAUAGAGAUAUUAACGUGCCACGCAAUUAUCUUACAUCUAGAAGACUCCAGAAGCCACGGGAAAGAAGCGGAGGCCGAACGGGGCGAGAGGCAGGGCACCCGCCAUGUUUCCCUAGGCGCCCGCCCUGACUUGGAGGCCAAUUAGGACUCUGUUUCUCGGGAGAUCUCCACCGACCUAAAGGAUCAAGGAUAACUGUUCAAUCUAUGUCGGUUUGAUCCAACGGCCCAUAUUCACUUGAAGAGACUAUAAAACCAGACACCCUGGCCCCUGGAGGAGAGAGCCUCUCAACCCUAAUUCAUUAUUCUUCAAGGGAGAAGAAGCCUCUGAUCAAGAUUGGAGCCACCACAUCAAUUAGACAUCUAGAUUAGCAUAGCUACAUAGGAUUAGAACUAGAAGGAGUCAAUCUUCGAUUGGUUUCUGGAUCUGUCAAGAAGAUUCUUGGUAAUUCUCUAAUUGUUCUUCUAAUCAUCUUUGUUCUUCAAUAUUAUGAAUAUGACUUUGUUCUACUUCAAUAUAUUGCUUAUGACUUUGCUCUACUUGUUUAUAUUCAAGAUUAUAUUGUUCUUAGUUUAUCAUAGUUAUGUACUUGGCUUAGUUAGAUUGGAUCUAUAUACAUGCUUAGGAUCGUAUAGCGUUUAUCCAUCGGAUCCAUGGGUAAAUGAUAGAUAUUGUGUAGGCGUGGAGCUUAUACCGUAUUUAUCUGCGAUUGUACCCAAUAUGCCAGAUCGUGGGGUAGUUCAUGGUAGUGACAGCUUCAUUGAUUCUUAUAUAGUCCCCCUCUCGUGUAUUGGGCUGACAGAGCAACAUUAUUAUAGGGGAGUGAUUGCUAUGUUUCUCAUUUACCUUGCUAAUAUCACUAUGCAUGGGCGUAGUCUUGUCUCGCAAUGAUUGCUAAGUAUGCUUGCACUAACUAUGAUAAUGCUAGACUAUAUAGUUGAGAAUAAUUAGGAAAUAUUCUUGUAGUUCGUUCUAAUACCAUGCGAAUGACUUUCUAGAGUAUCUAAUUGAGGUGCUUAUCAUAUUUAUUAUGUGGCUAAGUUAUGCUGAUCAGAUUAAUUAUCCUUGUCACUAUUCAUUACUUCAUAUAUCUUUAUGUGACACUUACCCCUGUAUGAAAGAGUUAGAUAAAUGUUCUCAAUUAUACAUGCAAUGAUAAAUACUCAAUCUCAUAUUCUAUUCUGUAAUCAAUAUUGAUGAUUGCUAAUCCCUUCCCAGUGUUAAAAAUAUAAAUAACGAUACCUGGAAUACUUCCCGGUUAAAAUGCUACAUCGGUAUUAAUCUGUGCGCUUGCAGAUCCCAUUCAUUAUUUAUUUAGAAGAGCAAUUGCAUAUUUCAAUACCGCGUCUCUUAUAUCAUGCUGGGGAUGACAACUUGGCUUAAGUGGUAUGAGGGAUAGGUUUGGCGUUUUUGGCACCGUCAUCAGAUUUAGAAAACUAAGUCUACUUUUGGUAAUGAUGUUAAGAAUACCCAACAGCGAGCGCACCCGCAAGUCCGCCUAUCGGCCCCAAUCUUUUUCCCUUCCUCUUCUGCACUGAUUAGCAUCACGUCCAUGGUUACGAUCAAGUUGUUUCUGGAUCAGAGACUGCGUUAGCACCUAUAUAAUCCUCCAUAGGCCUCUUCUCUUCUCACACCAACCAUUUCUCAUCUCCCUCUUGUGAAGAUUGCUAAGCUCUCCCAUUCUCCAGUAGUGACCAUGUCUAGUUAUGCCCUCAAGCUGAUCAAUGCUCCCAAGACCAUAGCCAAUCUAGACAUAGCGCCUUACCAAGAGAGUUCUAGCAAGGAGGUCCAUGUUGAGAAGAGAAAGCUGUUAGCGUUGUUACCAGCAAACCACAAAGCGCCCACCAAUAGCGCUGCCAACAAACCUGCUACUGCCCGUUCGUCCACUAGCAACAUAGGACUUAAGAGAAAAGCCCCUAGUGGUGAUAGUUAAGGCAAUCAUGCUGGUAGCAAGAUGGGUGGCAAGGCCAAGAAGACGGAAUCGUCCAGUACUCUCCCUAGGAUCAGGAGGCACUUGCCACAGCCGUCAAUCAAGCGUCGUGCAGGACAGUACGAGAGCAGGGAUGAAGAAGAUGAUCCCAAUAUCAUAGCCGAGCUUUUAGCUAAGCAGGCUAGCCUACGUACUGAGUUAUAGGUUUUAGAAUAUGACCUAGAGGAAAAGAACACUGAGAUUAGGAACCUCAGUGAUGAUGUUAAUAGGUUUUGCUUCAUGUUUAAUACUAAACUUAGAAAGGUCGCUGAAGCCUUAGGUGUUGGUCACCUUGUUGAAGAUCUUUAGACCACACCUCUUGCAUGAAUCAUUGUUCAGGCACAUUUUUCCUUUUCACAAUAUUUAUGUUUCAAAUAUUUUUUCCCUUCCAAUGUAAUGUGCCUAUUCAAAGUUAUCAAUAAAAAAAGUUUGUUUAUCUUGUGCACUUGUUUUCUAUAUAUAUUGGGACUAACCAUGAUAGGAAAGAAAACAAGUGUGGGAGAAGGACUAUUUAAUCAAAAAUCUCGGUUUGUGCAAACCCUCCUCCCCAAAAAAGAUUUUAAAAUGAAAUGUUUAAAAUGAUGUUACCUUCGUACUCCAUCAAACAUGUCUCCUAUGUUCAAAUAUGUUUUUGCAUACUUUAUAUUCUUGGCUAAUAUCCCUAGAGAUUUAUGAACACUUGUUAUAGGGACCACAUUUAUCUAAGUAAUUGGCGUAUGUGAUAUAGUAGGAUGACAUGAUGCUUGCUGGUUCUUGCAAAGUACUUGGGUUUUCUUUAUAAAAAGCAAAAUUCGAUAGCAAGUUUCUUGAAUGAUCAAGCUUUAUUCCUACCAUGGCCAAAUAUUUGUUCAUGAUUAAACCUUCUACAUAUGCUACUUGCUCUGUGUUGAGUUUGGUCAAAUUUUUGGACCGCUGUCGAGAGAUGUUUCAUGCCUCUAAGAUCAGAAUUCACUUGCACCUAAAAUUUCGCCAACUCUUACACUGAGGGUUGCGCACAUAUAUCCACCAAAUAAAAAUGCCAAUAUCUCACCCUGAGAAUUGUGCAUUCAUAUACAUUCCUUGCAUUUGUUAUCAUAAAGCUCUCUUUCAUUUUCAUCAGAAUCAUAGGAAUGGGCUAUAUAUAUAUAAUUAUUAUGAGAAAAAGCAAAAGGGGCAAAACGGGGAAAGAUUCAUACCCGUCCAAAAAAAUAAAAUAAAAUUUGUGUUAUAGCCCAUAUCCUCUCAAGUUUUUCAUCUCAUUUCAAAAGAGAGUCUUGAUGCAAGGAAUGUUGCAAUAAAAGUAGUGAUAGGAUUCCACCAAAAAUUCCACACACUUGCACAUUCUGAUCUAAGGGUAUGGCGCACUCCCUCCGGUAUGGUCCUGGGUUUGACUCGACAACAGAUGCAGAGUAAGUAAGUUCCACCAUCAUAGCUACCCAAAACUCCAGAUAAGCCUUUUAGAAGUAGGAUGAUCAAAAAGAAGGCAUCAACUCUUUAUGCCUUGGUAAGGAACCACUCACAUAUUAGGAGGGACUUGAGAGCAUCAUUCAAGAAACAUAUGCUAUCUUUAUUUUUCAAAAUCUUGCAAAACCCCAAGUUUCUGCGCAGGGACUAUGUAAGAGGAUUUGAAUCUAGGCUGUUCCAUGUUUCAAUUACCCAAGAUAGCUUGGUAGACACUUUGAAGUUCAUAAAUCCAGGUGAAGCUAGGAAUAACGUGUAUGCAGAUUCUUUUGACAAGGAAGAUGAACCCAUUUGGUCUUUAGUGCCUUCACUCGAGGACGAGCAAAGGACCAAGUGUGGGGGAGUAUUUGGUACCCCUUAUCUUAUAAUUAUAAACAUCAUUUUAACAAAUAAAAUAAAUAGAUGGUAGGGCUUUGAACUAACCUUUCCACAAGUUUUGUUGCAAAUAUCAAUUUUAGGUAUGACACGUGGAAAGGCGCAAAAGACACAAGAAAGCGCACUUCAAGAAAGCGUAUUCAGAAAAGGCGCAAAUCAAAGAUAAAUGGAAAAGCCCACCAAAACACCGAACUGGAUCCAUCCGUAACCACGGGAAGGAUCAGGGCCUAGAGACGAACUGACCAUGCGAAGGCGGUGGCCAGGGGGGCCCACCAGUGGUGCGGCCGCACCCCCCGUGGUGGCAACUCGGUCCCAAUUUUUUCAGGCGGUUACAAGGCAGCAUGCAUAGGACGGUUUCACCUCCUACCAAAUUUAUAUCGCCAUGAACCUUUCUUGUUGGGCUAUAAAUAGAUGGCUCCACACCAUUCAACACACACACACCAUCAUUUGGAGCAAUACACCUCACAUUUCUACACUUGUUCUUUAGUUUAGAUUCAGUAGUAGAGCAAGGCAAAGCUAGCAAGGAGAGCUUGUCUCCUUGGAGGAUCUUAGAGCUUCUUGGUAUGAAUACAAUUCAGUUCUCCUCCAUGAGCAAGUUCUUAUCUUAUUUAUAUGAUUAUGCAAUUGAAUUAGAGUAUAGUUGUGUUCAUAUCUUGUUCAUAGUAUAUGAACUAGUUCUUAGUUCUUGUGCUAUGUUCUUGAUGUGUUCAUCCUUGUUCUUCAUCAUUCAUCGAAUUAGUAUGAGUAGACAAAGGAUUAAGAUUGGGGUAACGGUUCAUUGGGCUGUGAUGGCCACUCUUAGCCAAGCCUGUCAAUCCAAAGGGUUGGGGUCCCGGGAGGCUAGGACGCAUUUCCAAUUACACGCGUGAGGUGCUCGGGUAUGUGGAGAUCAGCGGAUGCACGGGUAUCUUUCGGGUAGAGGGGUAGGUGGCAGGGUAGUGACCGCCCUGUCAUCCCUGGUAUCCCCCACAAUUAGGUAUUCCGGUAGGAGUUCGGUAAAGUCCCUAUCGGCUAGAUGUCUAGCUGCGGGGAUCUCCCCAGAGCCUCAGACAUAGUUCUAACUCUAGUUAUAUUGAUUAGAUGUUCUACUAACAAUUCUUUGCAUAGUUAUAUAAGAUCAAUGCCGGCUCAAGUAGUUGUUCUUUAUUUCUUUUAUUUCCUUAUUUUCUCUUUAUUCAUUGAGGUUGCCCCAAUGAGUGUGUCCACUAUCCAUAUUUUAAGAGCCUGUCGUGACCCCUGAUUAGACUAUGUCUACCUAUGCAUCUCAAUAAGUGAUCAUGCUACAAACCAAGCUAGAUGCAUUUGUUACGCCCUCCUACGGGAUUAAAUACGAUAACCCUUGAAUACUCACGGGUUGAAAUGCUACAAUGAUAGUUCUGUUCGCUUGCAGUUUUAUUCUUUAUAUUCAUGAACUAUUGAUUGGCGUACCUAAGUACCAUUACUUAAGAUUGUAAACUCUGUGCAUUUAUCUAGUGUCGUGCUACAACUUUGCAUAUCAUAAGUAAGGAUGGUUAGGAUGGCCAAUCCGGCAUUCCUAAUUAUUGUUACCAGACUGCACUGAUAAGGUCGGCGCCAUUAAAGGCCUUGGGUUAUCUCUAUGACGUAAUGAUAGUUACGGUAUACCAACACCCGACAUUUCUGGUGCCAUUGCUAAUGAUGGAUUUAUAGUCUAUCUUUAGUAGUGACGCUAAGAAAUGCCAACAAUCACCAAAACUUGUGGAAUUCUAUUAGUGAUAACCUCUUUAGCUAGAUAGUAUUCUUAUUUUAAUCCUUUCUCAUGCUAUGUUGACGGUUAAAAAGGGUACUUAUCUACAACAACAAACUCCCCCAAGCUUACCUUUUGCUUGUCCCUGACUAAAGAUAGACUUAGUGAUGGAUCAGGAGUUGCUACAAUACUUUCACGCCUCACGAGUACACAAGCGUUCAAACAUGGACUCUCAUCCAGAUUUGAUUGAACUAGUCUAACUCAAUACUCACCCAUAUUACCUUUUACCAUGGAGCUUAUAGCUAUCACUUAGGUCUUGGAUAGUUGAAAGAUAGAACAGUUAAGUCGAGCACUAUACUACUCACCCUUCGAUCAACUAUUAUUCUGGAGUUUUAUAAGAUUUUCAAAUAAAACUCAGAGUUUCCUCGUAUGACACUUUCUAGUAUCUCAUAUGUGGUUUUUUUAUAUACUCUCUGAGGCAAGUGAGUAUGCCUUCUCUCUACUCUCACCCUAGUUCUAAUUGGCUUAUGUGGAGCUCAUAGGUGGGAAAGAUAAUUCAAACCUACUUACGUGUAUUACAUAGUUAAAUCAUGGAUCUAGAGAAACUAAUUAUACAAUCAAGUCAUAUGUGCAUGUGAGUGAAUGAAGUGAAGUGAUAAGAAUGAAAGGGGUUAUGAGGGGUGAUAACUGAUGGUGAAUAUCUAAUUCUACAUUUGCUCCUUAUGGAAACAUACCUCCCUAAUUUAGGAAUAAGGACUUGGCUGUCUUUCUUUUGCAUUGGGACUUUUGUCUUCUUUCUUUCUUUUCUCAUUUUUUUAGAAAUCAGCCAGCCCUUUUAAUGCACUGAUAACAACAGGGAGUAGAAACUAAAAUAACUAGAGCUUUAUUGGAUAAGUAGAAUAAGACAUAAUGGCAAUGGAUAUUUUUGGGUAUUCCCUCCUAGUGUAGGAGUAGAAUAUUUUCUAUGUGGAUGUGGAUGAAGGAAUGCAUACACUUAGUGUAGGAGUAGCAUUAAGUGUGGUGUGUAUAUGUGGGUGGUACUUUUAGGAACAAAAGUAGCACAUAGCGAAUGUGGUGGAUGUAAGUUGUUGCGUACUUCUAAGGAUAGAAGUAGCAAAGAUCAAUGGAUGGAGAGCACAUAAUAUUGACUUUAAGUGCAUAACUAGUUCCUUAGGGUCUACACAACUUAACUACCCUCAAUGCUUAUAGGAUGAAAUAUAAGUGGAUGUAACACCCUAAAAAUUUCACUUUUCCAAAUAGGGCAAUUUGGUUUAAUUAAUUGUUGUGAGCAUUAAGAUAUAGUAAGAAAGGAAUUUCUAUUGAAUUAAAAUUCACUAUAAGGCCUAGACACAUGCUUGUGCAUUCAUGCUGCUGCAUAGAUUUUAUUGAGUGGUGUUUCUUUUAAUUUAAAAUGAUUUUAAAAAUCCUUUCAAAAAGAAUUGAGCAAAAUAUGAAUUUAGAAAAUGGAAAAGGCUCAACUCUCUCCCUCCCCACUCUCGGGCUCGGCCCAUUCUUUCUCCCCCCUGUGGCCUGCUAUCUUCCCCUCCCUCCUUUCUUCUCUGCGCGUGUAACACCCUAAAAUUUACUCCUUUUGAAAUAUAGAUAAAAUUAUUUAAUUUUGUAUUUUUGUGCUCAUGAAAAUAUAGGAAAAAUAAUAUUUUCCAUUAAAUUAAAAUUUAUCAUAAGGCUUAGCAAUAUUAUUAUGCAUACAUGCUGGUGCAUAUGUUUUGAUGUGAUGCUUGUUGCUCCUUUAUGUGUUGAUAGUAAGAAAAAUAUUUAAAAUACGUUUAGUAGAUCGAUCUUCCUUAUUCGGCACGUGUUUAUCUUUUAUCUACAACCAAAUUCCUUGUUUCUAAGCUCAAAUUUUUAUUAGGACCUUCCUAAAAUCUUUUCUUUGUCACUCAAAGCACUUCUUUUAGUUCCUUGUCCAUCAAGCACUCUCUACAAAUUUUUCGGGAAUUUUUUUCAACUUCUGUUCUCACUUUUCUACGAGCAUAAAUCUAAUUUUUAGAUGCCCCAAAUUAUCUUAUCAUGAGGUCCAAAUACGUUAUUUGAGUUCCUCAUAUUCCAUAAUGUCUCUGAGAAUUUUCUCCGAAUUUUCAGAGCUUUUAGAAUAUUUUUUAUAGUUUAAAUAAUAAUUCUGGACUUUUUUAGAAUUAUUUUAUCCAUGAAAAUAAUUAAUUUCGAAAAUAAUAAAUCUACUACUAUUUUCCAACGUCAAAGCCCAGUUACAAUAAUCAUAAUAAAUCCCAAGACCAUAUCUUUAUUUACUAAUGGACUUUAAUAAUUAAUUAGGCCUAUUAGUAAAGAUGAAGGUUGCAAAUCAGUUAGUACCAUAUCGCUAGUUGACGUGGAGGUGGGAAGUUUUUUUCCCUAUAUAUAUAUAUAUAUAUAUAGCAACCCCUUAGGCAAAGCACAUCAAAAACUAUCAUAUAGGAAGCCUCUAAUUUGAGAAUCCCUAGGUAGUAAACUAUAUUUUCUUCUUUCUCUCUACGUUACCUUUAAUGUGUUACCUAUGCCACCGUUUGAAUCUCGUCGGAGAACUGAGCUCGCCCCGUCGUCCUUGCCGUCAUCAGUUGUUUCUCUAUGGUGUUCAAACCUGCGGACGCCCUUCAUGCGGAAGCCACGGAGCGAGAAUUAGCGUCAUGCUACGCGACGUCCAAGUCAUCUAGCUUGCAAGCCCAGCCGGCCAAAAGCCACAGGUAUAGUACGUAUGCCCAUAACACUUAUAUCUUCAGCACGUACAUUCUACACGUUGGUCGUAUAAUCCAUGUUACCUGGCUCCUGUAUCUACCGGUGUGUUUUUGUCUUCUAAUUCGUGAUCACUGACCAGAAUCGUCAAAGUAGGUAAAUUCCGGCAAGUUUCACGUCGUCGUCCAUGGCGGACCACCGUACCGGAGAUCUUGAGUCGGCCAUGUGCUACGAUUGUGCUCUACGCUGCCCCAGUUUUCUAUUUGCUAGCAUGAUGACAUCACGUGAGAGGUCAUGACAUGAUUUCUGGCCGUUUUCUUUUACAAAAAUAAAUCCAAAAAUACAAUAGGAAUACAUUAGCUUGUUUAGGUCAUAUCUUCUCCGUUUUAACUCCGUUUUGACCCAUUCAAAUUGCGUUGGAUUCGUAUUAAUGAGCUCUACAUGUUAGUAAUAUUAUUUUCUCAGUUUGAAACUUUUUAUUUUCGUGACCUUAUUUAAUUAAUUUUCUAUAUAAAAUUUUAGAAAAUUCAUAACUUCUACGUUUUAAUUCCGAUUUUCGUGAUCUUUACGUCUGUGAGAUCGUAGCGAUGCGUAGAAUCAUUUUCUAAACUUUCCAUACUGUUUUUAUAUGAUUGGUGUACUGUUCUAAUUGUAGUCUUGUUUGCUUCGUGUAUGUUGUCUCCGAUUGUUUGUGUGAUCGAUGAUCGAGUUUAGACGGUGAGCAGUUUUUGGUGAUCAAGAUAAGGGCUUUGGCAACAAGUAAAGACCAGCAUAACCAAAAGGAUAAGCAAGAGCAUUUGGAUCAAGGCAAGUAUAGCAUUUGGAUUUUAUUUCUGUGACUAGAUUAAUGUUAAGUAAUAAAUGAUAAAAAUGACUUUUUAGCCACUUGAUGAUUUAUCUGUAAGUGAUAACUGAGACAACAGUGCAACCAUGAUGGCUAUAAUGGCUCUGGCUUUAGCUCAGUAUGAAGACCUUUUCUAGCUUGUUAGAGGUUACCCGAAAGGGCGGAGGGGCGGAACCGUUUUGGGUAUAGUGUGGCCUCUGUCUGUAUGUGUAUAGGCUGCGAGUCAUUGUGCCAUCGGAAGGGGGCUCUAUAUCUACGCGCAAAGGAAACCUUGUGGCCCUAACAUGUUAGACGAACUUUUGAAAGGCUUCAUAGUGAUCCCUGCCGACCUUCCUUGGUAGUGGGUUAAGAGGCUGAUCACCUCAGGCGAAAGGGUAAAUCAUGACUCAUGGGUAAAGAUGUACAACCUCUGCAGAGUCUUAAAACUAGUAUACUAGCCGUGCUCACGGUCAAGAGCGGCCUUGGGGAUUCUUGCAUCGACGAUGAUGAUUCUUGUGUGUUAUAUAUGUUCAUUAUUUAUUAUUUAAUGCUUUACAUUACUUAUGUCACAUUGAUCAUGAGAUUGUGAGAGCUAUACAAUCUGGUUGCUAUACUUGUGGAGUUCGACAUGGACUCACUCUUGCUAUUUCCCCCAAACCUCAGGAGAAGUUUAGGCUUGUGAUCAACCAGUCAGUUGGAUCCUAUAGAGAGAAGUUAAUACCCGGAGUUUGGAGUUAUCUAUCCGAUGUUUGCUAUCAAAGGUUAUCUCUUUUAUAUUAUGUAUGUUAUAUAAUUUAUGCAUUGUCUUUUGAUAUUACCCCUUAUUUGUAGCUAUAUGUGAGAUUUGGCUUCUAAGACUUACAUAUGGUGCAUAUCUGGUUUUGUUCUUAAAAUCGGGUAUUACAAAGUGGUAUCAAAGCAAUGCUGACGGUAGAACGCAAGCCUAGUUAGAAAUUUGUCGUCUUAAGGUUUUGGAAUUGUCAUAAAAUCCUUGCUCUAUAAACUUUGGUAUUUUCGUCCAUACUAUAUCCCUAUCCUUACUAUUUGUCUCCACCUUGUUGCUUAUUUUAAAAGUACAUGUUCUCACCUUCACUCCUUGAUUCAGUAUGCUAUUAGAACCUUUUCAUACCCCCUUCUUACGUCUUUGAAACAUAAGUUUUAGGAUCUUUGCCCUUAAUGAAGAGAACGAUAAUAUCGCAAAGUUGAGUGAAGUGUGCUUAGUUGGUUUGUUAUUAUGCUUAUGUUUGAUUUGGAUCAUUGUAAUGAUUGCAAUGAUCUUGUGGAAUUACUUCACAAUUUCAUUAGAUUAAAGACCUAAGGCAUAAGGAUUAAUGAAAUAAGUAGUUGGGUUUGGCUAUCUCUUGUUUCUAUCCCUUGCUGAUUUCUAGAGCAGUUUGCAAUAAUGCUGGUGUAUCUAAAGGUCUGAUCAUGCAAAGUUUAUCAAAUUUUUCUGGGAACAACUAGACAUUAAGAUCUUUCUCUGACCGUAAGAAUCACCCUCAUAGCUAUUAUGGUUUGGAAGUUACAAAAAUCACAAGAUGAUACAGAUGUGCUGUCCAGAAUCUGGACCAGUUUCGGGAACUUGCUGUUUGAGACAAAUAUAACUACAUAAUUUGGAAACGUGUUCUAUAGAAAAGUUAUAGACGACUUGCUAAGCUUUCCAACAGUAUAAUCUGGAACUUAUUUGGCUAAGGAUAACCUGAGAUAUGAUAUUUACAAUUGGAUGUUUCUGUUCUAUAUCAAAGUCUAGACAGUUUUGGUAUUCCCUAUUUUCGGCCAAGUUAAAUACAGAAUCUGGGAAAACAUGGUAUAUGAAAGUUGUAGAGGAUUUGCUAAGCUUUUCAAAAAUGUAAGGAUAAUCUCUAGAUGAGUUAAGUAGCUCGAGAUAUAAUUUCUGGAAUUUACUGCACCUUUGCUGAGACAUUAUCAGGAAGGAUAUUAUGUUUGGUUGUUUUACCUAUGCUUAAAGACAGAACCUAAGGAGGAAUUCUACAUUAAAGUUGUGGGGAAUUUCAUAAGUUUUCUAACGAUAUAAUCUGCAACUCUAUUGAAUUAAUAGAAUAAGAGUUAUACCAGUUUUACUACGCAGGUAUUUUUCAUAUCGCGAGGAAAUUUCAGGAUACGUGUUUGCUCCACUGCACAUAAGUUCUUUGGGAUGUCAGAAGAUCUCAAUGUUAACUUGUCUAGAAAGUAUGCAAGCUACCUUUCUUGGUCCCCUAAUUGACUUUUCUUAAGGGGGUAGCCCAAUUAAAGAACUACAAGGAGAAGAAGUGGUUAAUAACUGGAACAUCUAUAAGGACAUCAAGUGCUUGGUAUGUUUUUAAGAACAAAACUAGAUAUGCACCAUAUGUGAGUCUUAGAAGCCAAAACUCACAUAUAGCUACAAAUAAGGGGUAAUAUCAAAAGACAAUGCAUAAAUUAUAUAACGUACAUAAUAUAAAAGAGAUAACCUUUGAUAGCAAACAUCGGAUAGACAACUCCAAACUCCGGGUAUUAACUUCUCUCUACAGGAUCCAACUGACUGGUUGAUCACAAGCCUAAACUUCUCUUGAGGUUUGGGAAAAAUAGCAAGAGUGAGUCCAUGUCGAACUCCACAAGUAUAGCAACCAGAUUGUAUAGCUCCCACAAUCUCAUGAUCAAUGUGACAUAAGUAAUGUAAAGCAUUAAAUAAUAAUUAAUGAACAUAUAUAACACACAAGAAUCAUCAUCGUCGAUGCAAGAAUCCCCAAGGCCGCUCUUGACCGUGAGCACGGCUAGUAUACUAGUUUUAACACUCUGCAGAGGUUGUACAUCUUUACCCAUGAGUCAUGAUUUACCCUUUCGCCCGAGGUGAUCAGCCUCUUAACCCACUACCAAGGAAGGUCGGCAGGGAUCACUAUGAAGCCUUACAAAAGUUCGUCUAACAUGUUAGGGCCGCAAGGUUUUCUUUGCGCGCAGAUAUAGAGCCUCCCUUUCGAUGGCACAAUGACUCGCAGCCUAUACACAUACAGACAGAGGCCACACUAUACCCAAAACGGUUCGGCCCCUCCGCCCUUUCGGGUAACCUAAAAAGCUAGAAAAGGUCUUCAUACUGAGCUAAAGCCAGAGCCAUUAUAGCCCUCAUGGUUGCACUGUUGUCCCGGUUAUCACUUACAGAUAAAUCAUCAAAUGGCUAAAAAGUCAUUUUUAUCAUUUAUUACUUAACAUUAAUCUAGUCACAAGAUCAUGGUCGCAGAAAUAAAAUCCAAAUGCUAUACUUGCCUUGAUCCAAAUGCUCUUGCUUAUCCUUUUGGUUAUGCUGGUCUUUACUUGUUGCCAAAGCUCUUAUCUUGAUCAGCAAAAACUGCUCACCGUCUAAACUCGAUCAUCGAUCACACAAACAAUCGGAGACAACAUACACGAAGCAAACAAGACUACAAUUAGAACAGUACACCAAUCAUAUAAAAACAGUAUGGAAAGUUUAGAAAAUGAUUCUACGCAUCGCUAUGAUCUCACAGACGUAAAGAUCACGAAAAUCGGAAUUAAAACGUAGAAGUUACGAAUUUUCUAAGAUUUUAUAUAGAAAAUUAAUUAAAUAGGGUCACGAAAAUAAAAAAGUUUCAAAGUGAGAAAACAAUGCUACUAACAUAUAGAGCUCAUUAAUACGAAUCCAACACAAUUUGAAUGGGUCAAAACGGAGUUAAAACGGAGAAGAUAUGACCUAAACAAGCUAAUGUAUUCCUAUUGUAUUUUUGGAUUUAUUUUUGUAAAAGAAAACGGCCAGAAAACAUGUCAUGACCUCUCACGUGAUGUCAUCAUGCUAGCAAAUAGAAAACUGGGGCAGCGUAGAGCACAAUCGUAGCACAUGGCCGACUCAAGAUCUCCGGUACGGUGGUCCGCCAUGGACGACGACGUGAAACUUGCCGGAAUUUACCUACUUUGACGAUUCUGGUCAGUGAUCACGAAUUAGAAGACAAAAACACACCGGUAGAUAGAGGAGCCAGGUAACGUGGAUUAUACGACCAACGUGUAGAAUGUACGUGCUGAAGAUAUAAGUGUUAUGGGCAUACGUACUAUACCUGUGGCUUUUGGCCGGCUGGGCUUGCAAGCUAGAUGACUUGGACGUCGCGUAGCAUGACGCUAAGUCUCGAUCCGUGGCUUCCGCAUGAAGGGCAUCCGCAGGUUUGAACACGACAGAGAAACAACAGAUGACGGCAAGGACGACGGGGCGAGCAAACGGUGGCGUAGGUAACACAUUAAAGGUAACGUAGAGAGAAAGAAGAAAAUAUAUAGUUUACUACCUAGGGAUUCUUAAAUUAGAGGCUUCUUAUAUAAUAGUUUUUGAUGUGCUUUGCCUAAGAAGUUGCUUCAUAUAUAUAGGGAGAAAAACUUCCCACCUCCACGUCAACUAGCGAUAUGGUACUAACUGAUUUGCAACCUUCAUCUUUAUUAAUAGGCCUAAUUAAUUAUUAAAGCCCAUUAGUAAAUAAAAAUAUGGUCUUGGGAUUUAUUAUGAUUAUUGUAACUGGGCUUUGACGUUGGAAAAUAGUAAUAGAUUUAUUAUUUUCGAAAUUAAUUAUUUUCAUGGAUAAAAUAAUUCUAGAAAAGUCCACAAUUAUUAUUUAAACUAUGAAAAAUAUUCUAAAAGCUCUGAAAAUUCCGAGAAAAUUCUCAGAGAUAUUAUGGAAUAUGAGGAACUCAAAUAACGUAUUUGGACCUCAUGAUAAGAUAAUUUGGGGCAUCUAAAAAUUAGAUUUAUGCUCAUAGAAAAGUGAGAACAGAAGUUGAAAAAAAUUCCUGAAAAAUUUGUAGAGAGUGCUUGAUGGACAAGGAACUAAAAGAAGUGCUUUGAGUGACAAAGAAAAUAUUUUAGGAAGGUCCUAAUAAAAAUUUGAGCUUAGAAACAAGAAAUUUGGUUGUAGAUAAAAGAUAAAUACGUGCCGAAUAAGGAAGAUCGAUGUACUAAAUGUAUUUUAAAUAUUUUUCUUACUAUCAACACAUAAAGGAGCAACAAGCAUCACAUCAAAACAUAUGCACCAGCAUGUAUGCAUAAUAAUAUUGCUAAGCCUUAUGAUAAAUUUUAAUUUAAUGAAAAAUAUUAUUUUUCCUAUAUUUUCAUGAGCACAAAAAUACAAAAUUAAAUAAUUUUAUCUAUAUUUCAAAAGGAGUAAAUUUUAGGGUGUUACAGCGCGGCCCACUUCGCGGCCUAGGCAGCGCAGCCCAGCGUCCGCGCGCCCGUAUCCUCGCAGCAGCCGCUGACUGGGCGGUCCCGCGCCCCCGUGUCACUGCCAGGCGGGGUCCACUUGUCGGACCCGUCUCCCACCUCGUGUCCGACCAGGACACGAGCCGAACCGUAACCUCCGCGCGCAUUUCCGCGCGAGUGGUCCCCCCUCCACCCGUCUUCUCCCCUUUAAAUACCCACACCGCUGCCCCGCAACUCGCUACCUCAACCCGAGCAUCAGCCGCCGCGUAGCUUCUGCCGCGUUCGUCGUCGAGAUUUAGGCCGAAGCCAAUCCACCGUCGCAGCGCCUCCAAGUCCCCGUGAGCAGCUGGCCGAGCUUCGGAUUCGUCUCGCGAAGUCGCCAAAACUCUCGCUUCACGAUUUCGUGCUUUCUGUGCCUCGCUAACCCUCGCUGGACUUCUUUUCAGGGCCGCCGUCCACUGAUCAUCGCCGCAAGCCCUAGCCGGCCUCCCUUUGUUCCGCUUCUUGCCUCAGGUGAGCUCACAUCGAGUUUCUAAACGUUCCGGUGUGGUUGGUUCACGUUCUAUCGCUCCGAGUCGCUCGGUUGAGCAACUCCGGCCAACUCGGCCAUGGCGUCGCCGCGGGUUGCCCACCUCCGGCCAGCCGACAUUAACCCCCCAUUGCGAUCUAAUCUUGGCUCUUGAUUCGGAAUCCAACGGCCUAUAUUGAAGGAUACCCCUUCGGCCGUAAAUUUUGUAGAAAACCCCCUGAACUUUUUAAUGUAUAAACCCGCCGUCCUUUGCGCUUUCUCUGAAUACGUUUUCUAAAUUCUAAAGCGUAUUUUCGACUGCGCAGUGAAAAAAACCGUUUUCUUAGAUUUACAGUUUUGCCAUUGAUCUUAUUUAACUCAUAAAAACUCUGUUUUAACUCCGAUUUGACCCGUUCAAAUUGCAUUAGAUUCGUUUUCACGUAAUCUAUAGAUUAGUGGUACUGUUAUAUAAGUUUUCAACUUUUAAACUCCGAUUUAAUCUAUUAUUUUUUUAAAGGCAAUCUUAUUUAGAUCAUAACUUCUUCGUUUUAGAUCCGAUUUUUGUGAACUUUACGUUUGUGUGAUCGUAGAGCGAUGUAGACUCGUUUUAUAAACUUUUUAUCUUUAUUUAUUACUGUUGGUGUACUGUUCUAAUAAUAGGCUUGUUUGCUUUGUAUGAUUGUCUUUGGAUGAUUGAUGUUGAUGUGGUGUUUACGUAUAGACGGUGAGCGUACGUGGGUGAUCAAGAGUACUACUACGAGCAGGAUCAGCAGGACCAGUGUGAUCAUGGCAAGUAUAGCAUGGGAUCAUCCUUGUUUCAUAAUAACUUUAAUCACACAAUUCAUAUUGCAUGUGUCUCCUUGAUAAGGAUUUCCUAGUAUUGAUCUUAUACCUUGUCACCUAUGGUUAUGCAUUGGGUAGCUUAUGCUAGUGCUCCACUAAACCAUGAUCUUGUAAUUUGAUUAAAGGAUUAUGCAAUAAACAUUAAAAGAUGACUUUUUAGCAACUUUGGAUAAGAGGGCUGGAGCAUUGGGCUAUCUUAUGGUGCUCUAGUUUCUCUCCAUAAGGACUUAUCUGUAUCUGACCAUCCGGGACAUACAGUACAACUGUGAGGGCUACAUGGCUCUGGCUUUAGCUCAGUAUGAGGACCUUUUCUAGCUUGUUGGUGGUUACCCUUGUGGCGCAAAUGGGGGAUAGUAGACCGUGGAUUCCUGCGGGUGAGUCACACGGACCGACUAACGAAACCUAGCGUCCCUAACUUGUUAGACGAACCUUUGAAAGGCUUCAUAGUGAACCCUGUCGGCCUUCCUUGAGAGUGGGCUAAGGGGCUGAUCACCUCGGGCGAAAGGGUAAAUCACGACUCACAGUGAAAGUGUACAACCUCUGCAAAGUGUAAAACUGAUAUAUCAGCCGUGCUCACGGUCACGAGCGGCCUUGGACCAAUACAAAAUAAAUAAUCAUUAAUGGCAAAUUAUUAAAGUUAUUAUUGUUAAUAUGUUGUUUAUGCUAUUCUUUAUUCACUUUACGUGAUCAUGAGUUUAUUAUGGGUUUUGACAACUUGAUGCUACUCAUAUGCUAAAAUUGUGACAACUAAAAGCUACAUGCAGUUGAACCAGUGUCUAACCUUUGAGCCUCAUGAACCCCAUGUUACACUUGUUAAGUACGAGGUGUACUUACACUUGUUUAUUUUCUUUAUUUGGAUAAAAAUCCCGGAUGGGUAACAGAUGGCAUGGGUAAUGACUACCACCAGUACUUCCUUGAGGAUUUCUAGUCUUGUGGUCAACCAGUUGACGUGCCUGUGUGAUGGAGCUUCCAUGCAAGAGUUAUCUUUUACUUUCCGCUUUAUCUGUGUAAAGACUCUGAGUUAUAUCGUUAUGUAAUAAACACUUGUGAUGAUACUCCCUAUAAUUUGUCGGCUUAUGUGUGAUUGAUCUCUCGGCACAAAUAAGGUUUUGCAUUCAAUUUUAUCCUUAAAAUUGGGUGUGACAAAUUGGUAUCAAAGCCGUGUUGACUGUAGGACGCAAGCCUAGAUAGAAAUGGUCGUUUUAGUUGUCUUUUCUUCUCUAUUUUCAUGCUUACCAUCUUGCUCUUGUUAGUUGCUAAAAUUUUUAUGCUUCUACCAUCUCACUCUAUUAUGAAAUUAUUGCUUCUAAUGUAACUUCUCUCUGGUCUAUUCUAUAGAUGUUUCGUGCCAACAAGACCGCUCGUAUCUCCACUGGAGGGUAUCACCCACCUCGUUACCAAUACGAGCCUAUGGAGCCACAAGAGGAGAGUUCACCGGAACAUGAGGAGACCCCACCACCUUCAGAUCAAGCAUCUGAGCCAGAGCUAUCGCAAGUGGAGUCUGAACCAGAGAAGGAGCCCCAGGAGGUCAUACUAAUUUCUGAUGAAGAAGAAGAAGGUGCUCCCGGAGGAGGACAACCCCCAUCAAUGCCGCAAGAUGGACCUGCUAAAGAUGAUGAGUCCCCUCCCAUAGGGUGGACUAGAAAGGUGUACCACAAGGCUUCGUGCAAUGCUCCGUCGCAUCACCGGCUGGUGGGAAUGUUGGAGACUUACUUCUCUGACUAGGAUGCAGUUGUGGAGUAUUCAUGCAUCGAGUAUACACACCCCCUGGAGAACACCUACUGGAAGUCCAAGGUGCUGAUCUUUCCCAAGGAUGUGGAGAAAGAUGCAUACUUGAAGAACAGGGGCUACCGUCAUGAUGGACAUAGAGCUACUAUGGAAGAAAGCAUGGAGGAAGCAGCUUUCACAGCAUGUUUGUUCCUCCGUGAGCAACGUUUUGCUAACAUGCGGUGGGAUAUACACCGUUAUCUACCCCGCCUAGACCCGGAACAUGGAUGGGGAAUGCUGGAGCCAACAGAUUUGGACCCAGUCUCCCGAGUGAUGGUGUACUUUGCUCAUGAGAUGGUGGAAAAACAUCUGAAAUUGCAAGACAUGAUGAUAGCACAAGGAAAGGCUCUCAAGAGGUGCCACAAGAUGAUUGACGACCAUCGUGAGAGGGAAGGACAGCCCAAGAUCUAUGGGAAGCUUGACUAUGAACCACGCCCUUAGUGUUGGAAGUCGCUAGUUUGUAAUAAGCCGCUAGAAGCGCAAGUGAGUCGAGUCAAGUUAGUGUGGUGUGCUUUUUGUUAUGCUUAGUUGCUUUGUUAUUAUGUUUAUGAGUGAGUUGGAUCUUUGUAAUGAGUGCUGGGACUUUGUAAGCAUGUCUACAAGUUCCAUAGUUUAGGUUAUUAAGGAUUAAGGUUUAAUGAAUAAAUAGUUGGGUUGGUAUAUCUGUCUUUCCUGUUUCCUUUAAUUAAACCAAUCUGUCUUAAUAAUUUUACUCAGAAAAAUCAGUUCGACCAAAAAUUAUGAAAAUUUUAUGAGAAUAACAAGACUUAAGCAUCUUUCCUAUGCCGCUGGAAUCACCCUUUUAUCUGACCUGGGCCGAGAGAUAUGAAUAUUGAAAACAGAGGUUCCUGUGCUGUUUGAGUUCUGGGAUAGUUUCGAUUGGAGACAGUUUAUGGCUAAUUUAAUGACCCAAUCUGAACUUGUGCUCUAAAUAAAAGUUGUAGACAAUUUCUUAAGCUUUCCAAGCAUCAAAGUUUCGCCUCUGUUGGACUUUUUUAUCUCGAGUUAUGAUCGUUUUACUGAACUGCUGGCACUGGACUCACUCAGAAAGUUUUCAGAAUUGCAAACUUGUUCUUGAAUGUCUAUAAUUUGGGAGAUUCUAAAGUUUUGCAUGUUAUGACAGAUGCCGCCAAGAGGUAGAGGACGUGGAAGGGGUGUUCCACUCAACCCACCUACCACCAUCGAACAGCUACUAGCAGUACAGACGCAGCUCAUGGAAGCCCUGGUGAACAACCAACAGAAUCAUCCAAUCGGAGGGGCACCACCGCGUGAUAAGCGGGGUGAAUUUUUGAAAGGUCAUCCCCCUGUGUUCACACACGCCACUGAUCCACUGGAGGCAGAUGACUGGCUUCGUGCAGUGGAGAAGCAACUCAACAUAGCACAGUGUGAAGAUAGGCAGAAGGUGUUGUUCGCAUCUGGACAACUUCAGGGAGAAGCUCAGACAUGGUGGGAGUCGCUUAAGUAUGGACGACCUCCCAAUGCACCUGCUAUCACAUGGCUAGAGUUCAAGGAGAACUUUAGGUCUUACCACAUACCAAAAGGGUUAAUAGAACUGAAGGCAGAGGAGUUCCGGAGUUUGAAGCAGGGAUCUAUGACACUUCCAGAGUACCGGGACAAGUUUGCGCAGUUGUCGCGCUAUGCUCCCAAUGAGGUGGCUAAUGAUGCUGAUAAACAGCGCCUCUUUCUGAAGAGAUUGUAUGAUGGGCUCCAGCUCCAACUGAUGUCCAAUGAAUACCCCAACUAUCAGAUGCUUGUGAACCAUGCUAUCGUAGUGGAUAACAAGCGUAAGGAGAUGGAUGCUAAAAGGAAGAGGAUACAGGGACAGGCCUCUGGAAGUAAUACUCGUCCACGCACCAACCAGCAGCAGGGUUCUCAGCAAAGGUACCAAGGACCACCCUCACAAUGGAAUCGUGGUCAGCACCCCCAGCGCAACCAGAUCCAGCAGCGCCCGCAGAACCAGCAGAAUCAGCAGCAGGGCAACCAGCAGACGUCACACCAGGGUAUGCCUAGCAACACUCCAAUGAAGACUAGUGCCCCUAACACCCCCAACAAGUGUUUCCACUGUGGUAAAGAGGGUCACCUGUCAUAUCACUGCCCUAAAAAGCAAAAUCAGUAGACCCCCCAGAAGCAGAAUAGCCACCAGAAGUUAGCUCCUAAUACUGGAAGGGUGAGUCAUAUGUCUUCUGAGACAGCACAACAGGAACCGGAGGUCAUGCUCGGUACGUUUGAAGUCAACUCUAUCCCUGCAUCUGUUCUUUUUUAUUCUGGAGCUUCGCAUACUUUCAUAUCACAAGCAUUUGUUAGAAUACAUAGCUUACCCUUAUGUGCCAUGAAGAAUCCCAUAUUAGUAAAUUCACCGGGGGAAAGUAUGCAAGCUUCUUAUAGUUGCCUCCCACUUACUUUAACUCUAAGGGGGGUAGAAUUCAAGAUAUGCCCGAUUGUGUUGAGAGCAUCUGGUAUAGAUGUGAUUCUGGGAAUGGAUUGGAUGAAACAACAAGAUGCUUCGAUUCAGUGUAAAGGAAAGGCAGUUGCACUAACAACACCAAAAGGGGACAGGAUCUGUGUGGAAGUGGCAGUUCAGCCUCAGCCAACAGCUACAGUGAACCAGCUUGAUAUCAGUGACAAUCAGGAGGACUCUGUUGUUGAUGAGUUCCCAGACGUGUUCCCCGAUGAUUUGCCAGGUAUGCCACCUGACCGUGACAUUGAGUUUAUUAUUGAAUUAUUGCCUAGCACUGCACCUAUAGCUAAACGUCCAUAUAGAAUGGGGGUUAAAGAAUUAGAAGAAUUUAAGAAACAAAUAAAGGAGUUGCAGGAAAAAUGUUUCAUUCGUCCUAGCUCUUCACCUUGAGGAGCACCAGUGAUUUUUGUCGACAAGAAAGAUGGCACGCAGAGGAUGUGUGUAGACUACCGGUCACUCAAUGAGGUCACCAUCAAGAAUAAAUAUCCAUUGCCUAGAAUUGAUGAUUUGUUUGAUCAAUUGAGAGGUGCUUGUGUGUUUUCCAAGAUUGAUCUUCGCUCUGGGUACCUUCAGCUGAUGAUUCGUGCCACUGAUAUACCAAAGACAGCAUUUACGACCCGGUAUGGUUUGUAUGAGUACACAGUGAUGUCUUUCGGUCUGACCAAUGCUCCUGCCUACUUUAUGUACCUGAUGAAUAAGGUGUUCAUGGAAUUUCUUGAUAAGUUUGUGGUGGUGUUUAUUGAUGACAUAUUGGUAUUCUCCAAGACUGAGCGAGAGCAUGCUGAGCAUCUGAGGUUAGUCUUGCAGAAGCUUCGGGAACACAAGUUAUAUGCCAAGCGAAGUAAGUGCGAGUUUUGGUUGAAAGAAGUUUCCUUUCUGGGCCAUGUUGUCUCUAAUGGAGGAAUAACUGUGGAUCCAAGCAAGGUGAAGGAUGUGCUUGUUGACGGUCCUUAAGUACCAAAUAUAAUCAUCAAAUAAAUAAAGAAAAGGAUCCAAAUGCAAUCAAUACCCAGACUUAGGGUUUUAUCUGAUAGAAUUCUAGUUUAGGUGUAGAUCGGAGGAAGGCCGGCCUGUCGGUGUCUACUCCGAGUUGUACCUGCGGGAUCAAGUCUUCUAACCUGAGGCUUGCUCCUAAGAUUCUUCAGUAAUUCGACUUCUAAUUCUAGUAAGUUCUUGUUUUAUUGUUCUUUGGUUUAUGAGUUUACUUUAAUCCUCUUCCGGUUGAGUAUUAGACUAAUCAUUGCUAGCGUAAACGUGGUGUUUAGGCUAGGGUACUCAUAGAUAUCCCCUGACUAGCUGGACCGUGGUAGUAGCAAGGAACGUGACAUUUCCGAGUUACCUUUGUAUCCCAUAUCUUGUUAGUAGGACGAGUAGGGUUUAUAGGUGCGGGUCGAACAUCCUUUGUGGUGUCUAGAUUUCGUAAGCUUUCACAAUAGAACAGUAGAUCAUCCUUACCAAGGUUAGAACGAGACUACGGUUGCAGUCUUCUCUAUACAUCACUCACAUCGAGAAACAUUCUUUGUAACCUAAAGGGAUAGUAGCAAUAGAUUUGGUUAGUCAGAUGCACCCUUUCUCCGAGUGGUAAAAAUAUAAAUACGAUAACUCUGGAUAACCUCCUAGGUGAAAUGCUCACCGAUAUCCGUGCGCUUGCGGAUCAUUUUCUGAUUGCGUUACCAAAUAUCAACAAGCAUUUCUGGCGCCGUUGCCGGGGAGAAAGACGGUUUGUUGAGAUAACUUUAAGUCUUGCUAUUAUCUUGUAUUAUAAUUUUAUACUUUUAUUCUUUUAUCUUUUUAUUUUUUCCAUCUUUAUGGAUAACUCAAAUUCCAUACCUAUUAUUGAAUUCUUUGCACCUUCGGAGACCAGCCAUAGACCAUGGGAGUCAACAAGUCCUGCCCCUAAUUAUGAUCUGUGUCCGGAGUUGAUUGCAAUAGGUCAAAACCAACCCUUUUCUAUAGCUGAGGUCCUAUCUUUUAAUUAAGAAGAUAAUGCACUUUUAGCUACACGUAGGGAAUUUGUUAAUCUUUCUAUAAAUUAUGGUUUAAAUUUAGCCCUACAAGACCAUGUUUUUCCUCGAUAUUUUCACAUUGGUCUUAAUCAUAUAACCUGUGGUAGAGUCUUUCUUUCUUUAUCUAUUAGAAAAGGAAGGUAUGUCUUCAUUUGUGGACAUCCUUCUUGCACUAGUCUUCAUAAAAAAUGUUUAGAGAUAGAGAAGGAAUCAUCUCCCAGACAAGGAAAGGAAGUUUCAAUAGCCAAUUUCCAAACAUUUCAAUCCCAUAAAUCGGCUAUCCAACCCAUCCUUGAGCUUAAUAAUUUCUACUAUGCUCUUUCUCUUGAACCUCCCGAUAAUCCUAUGAAUCUUUCUAGACAUCCCAUGCAUAAGAGUCACCAAGACCACAGGAGGAUCGAGAAGAGCAACAUCAAUGGCUAGAGGGCAUUAAAAAUCCAUGUGCUAUCACCAUUGAAUGGUUGGAUAAAACAAUCUUGAGAGACAAUCCUAGAGGAAUUUUAAGCAUUCAUGAAGAAUCAUCCUUGGAGUUUGAGAAUGAGAGAAACAACAGUGAGCAUGGAAUUUAUUUCAUAAAUACCUUACCAAGUCCUUGCUCAUAUAAAACAUCUCCCCAAUCAAUUGGUCUAUCCAACAUCACCACAUUUGAGAUCUCCAACCCCCUCUUCCUUUCUAUUUAUAAAAACUUUAAAAGGGCGGUUGUCGAUGUAUAUGUCUAUAAUAAAUAUUGCCGAUACCGUUGAGUUGAUCUUAAUAUAGGUCAGCGUUGGAGGGGAAACCACUUCGCCGACAUAAACUAAUGGUUUCCCAAGGACAAGCUUAGUGUCCUAAAACAAGCACUUAUCAGAUCGUGACAUGAACUUCUAAUUAUUUGCAACAUUGCCUUGUGUAUUGAGCAUAUAGAGAUAAUUAUAGAAAUAUUCCUUCGGGUAUUCUUGUCACUAACCUUUCCUAGAUUGGAGCAAGAAGAUCCGAGGAAUGACAAGCACAAGGUAUGUCCAACCAAUCAUCAUGCAACAUUGAAUUAAAUUCAUCCAAUCUUGAAUUUUGCAAAAUUCAAGCUUGGGGGAGUACUUUACAUACAAACAUCAUUUGCUAUGUUGCUAUGUUGGUUGUCCUUACCUUUGAGACAUGCUCAAUUUGUUAAAUACUAAUUACACUACUUCACCUCCACUUGAGUAGAUCUCUAUAAAUGCUCUCAUGCUACCUUUAUUUGCUUUAGUAUAUGUCUAGGUUUGGAGUAGUUUCAUUUAUCUCUUAAAUCAAGCAUGGUGCUUAGUUUAGGAAUGAUGAUCUUACUUCCAAAGGAUUUUUUUAAAUUAAGCAUGGUGCUUAGGUUAAAAAUGCCCUCCUAAAUCAAAUUAGACAUGGUGUCUAGGUUGAUUUUUGAGCCGAUAGUAUGCUAUAGUAGAUAUGGGAUAUUUUGUUGGACUAACCCCUGCAGGAAAACUUUCAAUAUCAACCUGGGAAGUCCUGAGAUACAAACUCAUUGAAGAUAAAGGAGACACAUGAAGUUUAACAAUUUGCACAAGAAGGACAUAGCUCAUUUAUCAUAAAGAGAUGAUCUAUGGAGAGUGCCACAAACAUGAUGCACAACCGCUAUGAAAGGAAAGCUUCCACAAGGUGAUACUACCAUCACUCUUCAAGUAAGGUAACACCUAAAGGUACUCGACUAUCACUUUCAUAAGCUUCUCCUUGGUUCUGGCAUACACAUGAAUAAAAGAGACAAACAUGUAUGAUUUGUAGCUCCAAAUUAACCAACCCAAUUAAUUCAACAUGUUUAGUCCUUUAAUCUUUGUUCUUAGUACUACCUUCGUGAUCCCACACUCCUAAUCAUAUAAGCUAAAAUGUUGCACAUUCAAUCUUUGGAAGAUAUAAACAAAACAUAAAUAUAGAUAGAUUAUCUUUCCAUUAGGUUGAGCCAUCUGAUCUAACAAAUGCUACACUCAUGAUCCAUCAACUUUGUCUUGCUCACUAUACUUAAGGUUAGAGAAGAACAAAUACACUUUUGGUUCUGUUGGUGUUUUCCACCAACAGGGCCCAUGCACUUGAUCUCUGCCUUGUGUCUAUGAAUAGGUACACUUCAAACAAAACAUGGAGGAGUUUUACAACUCUCAGACUCCACCAAGUGAAGGACAUGGAUCUAUGAGCACAAACACACUGAGCAGGAUGCUGCUAACGCCGCACUUCGAACUGCUAGACAAACAAAGAACAUGGGUGACUCUAUAUCAAGAGGUGCAGACGUCAAGGCCACACCUAAUCAAAUGAUGCACCGAAAGGAUGAAGACGGUGAGAAGUCUUGUCCAGAAGACAUAAAACAUUAGAUCCUUGUCGGAGGAGGUCAAGAUCGUCGACUGAAGUCGCCUUUCCUGAUCAAGAAGGACGACCCUGGUGUUCCAAGCAUCGAGUGCACAAUCAAUGGAUACUCUUUUCAGAAGACACUCUACGACACCGGAUCUAACGACAACAUAAUGGCCGCAGUCACUUAUCAACUCCUGCAUGGAACCAUGCCCCUACAACCAAUAUAUAUUCAGCUCCAGAUGAUUUUCAGGUCAUUGACAUGGGAGACGACGAGUACGAUCCACCCAUCAUCCUUGGAAGACCGUUCCUCAGCACUAUCAAAGCCAUUAUCUAUAUUGGAAUCGGAGAAGUCCACAUGCACUUCCCCUCUGAGAAGGUACGCCGCUAUUUCACUGACCCUAACUAUAUAGUUGAAGACUCUAAGUAGGUCAGGACAAGAAGAAGACGACACAACCGCAACCAGAGGAGGCAAACUAUCAAGGACGGAUGGGCAGACUAUGAAGGAGAAGUGGUAAGGUCUGAAGACAUACAGCUUGAACAGAACCGUCCUGAGGAGACCGUAGCACCGAGUCAGGUAUGGAGAGAGAAGAUAGUCAUACACGAAGAGGAGGCGCCGCCGGAACCACCGACUACGCCAUCCAGCAAAUCCUAGGACGACUGAGAAACGGAGAGUCCCGUUCGGAGGACUUAAAAACACCGAACGUCUUGCCAAGAGGUAAACUUGGUAGUUAUCCUUUUCCCUUCAAUUAUUUUAUUUAGUUAAUCAGGUUCAUAUCAUAUCGAAAAGAAAAUAAAAAUGUUAAAAAAAGUAAGCCCAUGUGAGUAUGCUCAUGGCAUAAAACCCAUAAGUACAUUCACUGUGGUGGCAUAAAAAUAAAAUAAAUAAGUUUUUAUCUUACAAUAAAAAUAUAAAAAUAAUAAGUGCAUGAUCCUGCUAAAUAAAUAACAUUUAUUGAGGAGGCUCAACAUGAUAAAGGCUAGAUAUUUAUGCUAACACUUAACCAGUUCCACAAAGCUUUGUUGUCUAUUUGAGCUCCACAGAAUUCAAGGAUCAAAGAAGACUAGCAGACGGAGGACAUCCUAAUCGCUGUCAGGGUGCUGCCGACUUUCAAAUACACCUCCACCACCUACUAGCUACAUCAGAAGAAAUUACGUCAAAAUCCAGCUUGGGGGAGAGCACCCCCAUUUAUCCAGCUAAGUGUUUCUACUCGCGUUUAUACUUUACUCAAAUAAUAAAAGAUGCAUAAUCAUGAAAACCCAAAUAAAGAUUUUGUGCUUUUAUAUAUAUAUAUCUUUGCUUAGUUUGCUAAAUAAAUAAAUAAAUAAAGUUUGCUAUAAACCCUCAUGAUAAACUCUCACAUGGAAAUGAUGAAUAGUUGCUCUGCCAUGACUAGUUCUUAAAAUUGAAAUCUCUCUCAAGUUUAGGCAUGACUGUUAUGAAGUAAGAUUUGCUCUAAACCUGAACUUGUGGGAAGAGUACUUGAUCUAAAGUCUAAGUUGUUAACGGAUAUGAUAUGGGAAGGUUGAGCUGCUGUUUAUCUGUUCCUAGAGAUGCUAGAAUUCUGGAGAAUUUUAUCUUUGAAAAAUCUUUAAAAUAUCACAUGAUGAGUUCUUGUAUGAUGAGAGUUUAAAUUCCUACCAUAGCCAUAUAUACAUGCUUAUUAGACUUUGAGCCACACAUUUACUUUUUACUGCUUAUGAGCAUUGACUGUGGUCAAGCUGUGUAGACCCUUAGGAGCUUGUCAUGUGGUUAAAAUCAAGAUUCACUUGCAUGUUCACUCAUAUAUGCUGCUUCUACUCCGGAAGUACACAUCCACAUACAUCCACUCAUUUCCAUCUCCAGAUUCACCCAAAAUUAUUCUACUCCUAAUCCGGAAGAGAAUAGCCAAAAACAUUUUCUUAUCCCUGUUAUUCCCUGUGAAAUAAAUGCUCCAGUUAUUUUGGUUACUACCACUUGCUACAUUAUUUCAGGAGAUGAGUGCUCUAAAAAAAAGAAAAAAAUAAAUAAUAUACGAGGAAAUAAAAAGGGGCAAGUGCCCGGAACCUCGAAGAAAAGAAAAAAUGACACGAGAGGUAAAAAUGGACAAGUGUCCGACAGUAGAAUUAGAGGUACAAGAUACCCACUUGAGAGGAAAGAAAAAGAAAAUAUAGAGCAUCUCAUUCUCCUCAAAAAGCUUCGAAGUGCAAGAAAGGUAUGUAUCCCCUUAAAAGAGCAAAAGUAGAAUUAGACUUUCGCCAUUGUUAUCACCAUCAUCACCAUACACCAUUCAUCUGCCACACAUGCACAUCUUGAUAUGACUUAUUGACUUGUUUCUCUAGAUCCAUGGUUUGACUAUGCAAUAAAUGUCUUGUAAGUAUGUAUUAGCUGUCUCCCACCUAUGAGCUCCAGAUAUUAAAACCUUAUUAGAGUAGGGUGAGAGAGGAGGCAAUAUCACUAUGCCUCAUACCAAAAAUACCACAUAUUUUGAGAGAAGGCAUAUACCAUUACUGCCUUGGAAAGGAUCCAGAAAUACCACAAAAGAGAGAUCUGAGAGAGUCAUACAAGAAAUCUCUGAGUUUUAUUUGAAAAUCUGCAAAAACUCCAGAGCUAUAGCUGAUCAAGAAUAAGAGACAUGGCGCUUGACUUGACCGUUCUAUCUUUUAACUGC
rnacentral:lncRNA from 1 species